rnacentral:lncRNA from 1 species
UCCCUAUUCUUAACUUCCCAAACAAAUAAAAUAAAUAAGAUCUGAACUCAAACAAAUAAAAUAAAUAAAUCUAUCAGAAUACUUUGAUUGAAGCUUUAUUUCAAAUACAUUUAUGAAUGUUAUAAUAUAUAGAGUGUUAGAAGGUGUUACUACACUGUUAAAAAGCAUGAGGCUAUCUAUCUCUCUUUCCAUCUCUCUCUCUCUCUCUCCAUCUCUCUCUCCAUCUCUCUCUCCAUCUCUCUCUCCCUCUCUCUCUCCAUCUCUCUCUUUGCUUCUCUAUCUCGCUCUCUCUCCAUCUCUCUUUCCAUCUCUCUUCAUCUCUCUUUCCAUCUCUCUCCAUAUCUCUCUCUCAUUUCUCCAUCUUUCUCUUUGCUUCUCUAUCUCGCUCUCUCUCCAUCUGUCUCUAUAUCUCUCUCCAUCUCCAUCUAUCUAUCUCUGUUUCUCUCUCUCUUUGCUUCUCUAUCUCGCUCUCUCUCCAUCUCUCUCUCCCUCUCUCUUUCCAUCUCUCUUCAUAUCUCUCUCACUGUCUCUCUCCAUCUCUCUCUCUCUCUCUCUCACUGUCUCUCUAUCUCUCCCUCUCUACUGUGGCAGGUAGUGUAAGAUGUGUUGGACCAGCAGCUCAGGGUCGUGGGUUAGGGCUUGGGGGUCGUAGUUCAGGGCUCUUCUCCUGCGGCUGGGCCUCCCACCAGGCUGGGCCUGUAGUUCGGUGUCGAUCCUCUUCAUCCUCUGUAACCCCACAGCAUGGUUUUGGGUCUUGUGGCCCUCUCUCUCUCCCCCAAGCCAUCCAGGGCCCUCUUCCAUAUACCCCAGCCUCUUAACCCUCAGAAGCCCCGGAGAGGGCUCCCGGCUGGGGGGAGGGAGUAGGAGGGGAGACCAGGGAGCGACGGGACCUGUGGAAGACUGGUUCUGAGGCUGCUCUGACACCUCCACCCCCACCACCAGACACAGACACCAGGUCCCUCCUCGCCCGGCGGCCUGAUGAACCCUGGGGGUUGUUGGGACCAAUGCUGGACAGGAUCUUGGUUACGAGGUAUCUGGAGACACAGGGAUAAUAACAUGAAUUAUGUUUACAUUUUACAACCAAAACAUUAUACCCUGCUAGCUACUGUACAUUCAAUAGCUACAUGACUGAGUGUAGAAAAUUGCCCCCCCCCCCCAACUCCCUUU